rnacentral:rRNA from 1 species
CGGCGGACGGGUGAGUAAUGUCUGGGAAACUGCCCGAUGGAGGGGGAUAACUACUGGAAACGGUAGCUAAUACCGCAUAACGUCGCAAGACCAAAGAGGGGGACCUUCGGGCCUCCUGCCAUCGGAUGUGCCCAGAUGGGAUUAGCUAGUAGGUGGGGUAACGGCUCACCUAGGCGACGAUCCCUAGCUGGUCUGAGAGGAUGACCAGCCACACUGGAACUGAGACACGGUCCAG